UUCUAGGGAUGGGAAUCGAACCCACACCUACUUACCGGGCAGAUGCCACUAGGCUACCCUAGA
rnacentral:tRNA from 1 species